UUUUCUCUAUUGGGUAUAAUUCUGUAUUUGAUAUGGUGUAAUUGGAAAUGUUAAUGUUUGUAGGCCUGUAUGUAUAUAUUUGGAUCAUAAAAAUUGAAUUUUUAUGUUCACUCUUUCUUUCUAUAUGCCUAUAAUCAUAUAUAGGCAUACACAAUGGUGUGUACAUUAUUCUUUUCCAUAAGUUGCACCCUGCCAUUUUCGAUAAAAAAAAAAAAAAGAAAAACUUGAAUUCGAAAUCUGGAAUAUUAUGGGAGCUAGCUAAAUUGCUUAGUAGCUCUCUAAGUAUGAAUCGAAAUCUCGAUUCUCAAAUCUUGUGGGAGUAAAUCAUGAACCUGAAAACUUGAGGUAACCCUCCAGCUAUAUACAUAUACUUAGAUAUUAUGUGUGUCUUGAAAUCUAUAAAUGGGGGAUUUUGUGUUGUUCUUGAUAGAGAACAACUUGUUGACAUGCUUGGUAGCUGAGAAAAUAUGGGAAGAAGGCAUCAUUUUCAGACUCUACACAUGGGAUAGUUGUUAUUUUAUUGGUGAUGAUAUAUUAUGGGAAAUAUGUAUGUAUAUAUUUUAGUCCAUGGUUAAUUUUUCAGAAUGAUACAAUGAGAAUUGCUUAAGAGCGUGCUAGAGUUCUCUGCUUCUGAAGGGUUUGGUUAGUGCACUUCUAGGGGUGAAGGAGUUUGAUGCUAGAUGGAUUGGUUGGGCUGGUGUAAAUGUGCCUGAUGAGACUGGACAAAUUGCACUAACCAAAGCUUUAGCUGAAAAGUUUCCAUACAUAUGAUUAUGCAAGGCAUUUUGUGAGUGCUUGUACUCGUAUACUUGGGCUAGAGGGUACACCUGAAGGAGUAGAGGACCAAGGAAAGCUUACUCGUGUUGCAGCGGUACAAAUUUGGAAGCCUUUCCAUCAUUCUUUUAUAGUUAUUUGCGCACCUGCAAAAUUAGCAUUUCACAUAGUACAUAAUACAUAAUCAUUUGUACAUUGAUGUGGUGUAAUGCAUUAGUUUUAAUAUUUUCAAGCUGAGUUUCUUCACUUCAUUAUUUAUUGUGAUGCCUGCAUUCCUUUCUUUCCAUUUGGAUGUGGAACUACAGUUUCCAAUUGGCAUAGACUCUGACUGGUUUGUUUGAGCUUUGGAAAUUCCUCAAGUCAAGGAACACUUGAAAGAACUGAAAGAGAGAUUUGCUGGUCGGAAGGUGAUGCUGGGGGUUGAUCGUCUUGACAUGAUCAAAGGAAUUCCACAAAAGAUUUUGGCUUUCGAAAAAUUCCUAGAGGAAAAUCCAAGCUGGCGUGAUAAAGUAGUUCUACUUCAAAUUGUCGUGCCAACCAGAACAGAUGUUCCAGAAUAUGUUGCACUUGUUACUUCUCUUAGAGAUGGAAUGAAUCUUGUGAGUUAUGAGUUUGUUGCUUGCCAAGCAUCCAAGAAAGGAGUCCUCAUUCUAAGUGAGUGAACUUAAUGAUACUAUUGUGGAAGCUCAACUGAGGACUAGGCAAGUUCCACCUCUACUUCCUAUGAAAGAAGCCGUUGAUCACUAUUUGGAAUCCAAUAAUAGAUUGCUUAUACUGAUGGAAUAACAAAUAUACUGGUAGAAAUGAAUGUUAUAGCACCACAUGCUUUUGUUUCAUAAGUUUGGUUUACCCACAUCGUGAAAAUAUUGUGGGUAAUCAACCAACUUAUGAAGAGUUAGUUGAACGACUUAAUGAUACAACCUCCCGCCUUAAUGCUACUAACGAACAACUUAGUAUAGUUGUGGAUAUACUUCGUCAUAACAAUUUGAUGGCACCGCCUCCACCACCUCCAACAGACCAAGCUUCAGAUGCAAAUUUAAGAGAGUCGCCUUCUAUUUCAGUUCGGGAGUUACAAGAUGAUUCUUAGUUUAUUUACAUUAAUUUACUAAGGAAUGAACUUUAUGAAGUUUUUUUUAUUUUGGUAGGGGUAACCUUAAAAUGAUAACUUUAUGAUUUAUUUUAGUAUUGAACAUUAUAAAGAAUUUUAGCAUUAAACAUUUUAUUAUUGAA